AAGGGAGCUUGCUCCUGGAUUCAGCGGCGGACGGGUGAGUAAUGCCUAGGAAUCUGCCUGGUAGUGGGGGAUAACGUCCGGAAACGGGCGCUAAUACCGCAUACGUCCUGAGGGAGAAAGUGGGGGAUCUUCGGACCUCACGCUAUCAGAUGAGCCUAGGUCGGAUUAGCUAGUUGGUGGGGUAAAGGCCUACCAAGGCGACGAUCCGUAACUGGUCUGAGAGGAUGAUCAGUCACACUGGAACUGAGACACGGUCCAGACUCCUACGGGAGGCAGCAGUGGGGAAUAUUGGACAAUGGGCGAAAGCCUGAUCCAGCCAUGCCGCGUGUGUGAAGAAGGUCUUCGGAUUGUAAAGCACUUUAAGUUGGGAGGAAGGGCAGUAAGUUAAUACCUUGCUGUUUUGACGUUACCAACAGAAUAAGCACCGGCUAACUUCGUGCCAGCAGCCGCGGUAAUACGAAGGGUGCAAGCGUUAAUCGGAAUUACUGGGCGUAAAGCGCGCGUAGGUGGUUCAGCAAGUUGGAUGUGAAAUCCCCGGGCUCAACCUGGGAACUGCAUCCAAAACUACUGAGCUAGAGUACGGUAGAGGGUGGUGGAAUUUCCUGUGUAGCGGUGAAAUGCGUAGAUAUAGGAAGGAACACCAGUGGCGAAGGCGACCACCUGG
rnacentral:rRNA from 1 species